rnacentral:rRNA from 1 species
GAUGAACGCUGGCGGCGUGCCUAAUACAUGCAAGUCGAGCGAACAGACGAGGAGCUUGCUCCUCUGACGUUAGCGGCGGACGGGUGAGUAACACGUGGAUAACCUACCUAUAAGACUGGGAUAACUUCGGGAAACCGGAGCUAAUACCGGAUAAUAUAUUGAACCGCAUGGUUCAAUAGUGAAAGACGGUUUUGCUGUCACUUAUAGAUGGAUCCGCGCCGCAUUAGCUAGUUGGUAAGGUAACGGCUUACCAAGGCAACGAUGCGUAGCCGACCUGAGAGGGUGAUAGGCCACACUGGAACUGAGACACGGUCCAGACUCCUAAGGGAGGCAGCAGUAGGGAAUCUUACGCAAUGGGCGAAAGCCUGACGGAGCAACGCCGCGUGAGUGAUGAAGGUCUUAGGAUCGUAAAACUCUGUUAUUAGGGAAGAACAAAUGUGUAAGUAACUAUGCACGUCUUGACGGUACCUAAUCAGAAAGCCACGGCUAACUACGUG